GGUCUCCUGGUGGAAUUGUAACCCCUCUACAAAAUAUCGCGGCCGAGAAUGUAAGCCUCUUGCAUUAUUUCAGCCAAUCAGGGCCAGCGAUGUGAAAUAUCGUUUCUCACGAGAUGUUUCCCCGCAGGCACGGUCCAAGAGCAUUGCUGCAUGCUGAUCCAUUGAUUUUAAAAACUGACCGGAGACUGACCCUGAAUAGUUAUGGCAGUUCCGUAUGAAAGGAAUGAAAGGAAUGAAAGUGAGGCAACCCACCAAGCAGCCGCGAGUUCCCAGCAGCACCACUGGCGCGAGUCCAGAUGAGCUGAAGGCGAGCGGAGGGCUGCCACUGGUGUGGAAAGACUUUAGGUGUACUGAAAAUCAUCCAGCCUUGGCUUUUAACCCACCCCUCAUCUUUAAUUGAGACUGAGAGAGGAGCACAGGAGGACUGUAGCGAAGGGACAGAGCAGUGACCCCACCCAGUCUUGAACUCGGGUCUCCAGCUUGAUCACAACGCCAAAAAGCCAGGCCUGUUGGUAUGGCAGUCAUAGUGCAUACUCAACUGUAGUGAUGGUACUCUGUCACACUGCCCUCCCCUUCAGGAAGCUUGCCCAUGCACUUCACUCAUACAGGCGACUCUCGUGCA